rnacentral:lncRNA from 1 species
UAUGUAAAAUCCAAAUAUGAACUUGUAUGUCAUAUAUGUCAUUUGCAUAUAUUGACAUAUGUCAGAUUUCUAUGGGGUCUUUCCUUCUCUGCUACAGCAAAGCAUCUGUUGCAUCUGUAUGUGCUUAAAUUAAUUCCUGUCACACAUCACACUGCACUCUUCAGUAAACUGACAGAGAGCAGGUUAAUACGUUUACAAGCUGGGUGAAAACAGGUUAAUGUGUUUACAUGAUCACAUGCAUUGUCGGUUUAUUAAAUGCAAUCGGGUGAAGAAGUGCAUGUAAACAUACUCUUAUCCAUUACUUACCUCCACACAGCUUCCCACAAUACCCAGCUCCGGAGGCUGAUGCCUUGUCCAUUAGGCCACUGGGCCAGAUAGUAUUCAUUUAUGAAAUUAGACGUCAUGUAUCUGUUAAUUAUGUGUGCUGUAGGAACGAGCUUCUCUGCUGACAGAGCUGGAGAAACUGAAGCAGCUUCAUGAGCAAACGCAGCAGCGAGAACAGAGAGUUCAAGAAAGGCUUCAAUGUACUAAAUCAAGGGUGAGCAAGCUUAAGACAGGGGAAAAAGUCAGGUAAAAUAACUCCUGUAUCUAUUUUGAUAACCUAUAUGAAAUUUCUUUAAAGUUUGACAGUUUUCGCGAGCAGAUUGUCAGGAUUGCACACGUUUCUGACAAGCAACCAGACCAAGAGGUGCUGGACUGUUUAUCAGAGAAAAUGGAACAGAUGGAGAUGUACAAAACCAAAGUGCAUGACUUUGAACUAAAACUCAAAGAGCAAGCUCACACACAGAGGAAAAUAUUGGACGAGAGCCAGGAAUUUAGAGCUAGACUGCACGAAUGUCAGGUAUUGUGUGGUGGAAACAUUGAUUAUGCCGUGUACAGUUGUUUAUCUGUGUUACAGCAAUGCACACCAUGCUGCACAGCUAUGUAAUGUCUGUUUGCAUUUGUCUAUAGAGUCGAGUGCAAGAUGCAUGUAUUGUGGACACAGUGCAAAUGGAAAUAGCUGGUCUGCAGGAGAUGAAUCUGAAUCCUGUGCUUAGUUGGGUUCAAGAGCAUUCCCUCUACACACUGAAUCUCCUGCACAGUGUAUUGCUGAAUAUGACUCAGAGGUUACAAGAAGCAGGUCUUGAUGUGUCAGUGAAAACUGGAGGAGUAUUAGGUGCCUUACAUAUUUUGUGCCAAAACCUCAAGGACACCCAAUCAGAGCUGAGAAACCUAAAGACAGAGAUGCAAAAACUUGAGGACACAAACAUGCAGAGCAGAGAUCUUGACAACAGGCUGGAGGUCAUGCAGAGGCAGUUUGAGAAGGAGAAACUUCAGGCAGCCGAGGGGCAGAGUGAGAUGAAGAACACACUAAUGCGACAGUUGGAAGAGGCCACGGCUGAUCUGCAGUCAGUGAGACAAACUGAGGUGAAUCAAAACUACACUCUAAAAAAUAAAUAUGUUAAUUAUCGUAGCAGUCACCUAUAG